rnacentral:lncRNA from 1 species
UUUCUUCCUUGCUUGCCAGAUGCAGGGCUCAGUCUCUAAACCACAGCAAGGAUGACUCAUAGCAGUCACUCUGCAUUUCUCUCUCCUCCUUUUUCCUGCCCAAAUAACAGGAAGCCCUUUGGAUCAAAUUGAAUUUCGCAGCAAAAGCCACAGAAAGUCCCCCAACAGUUUCUGCUGCUGACCUGCUGGGUUUAUGGCCCCAGGUAGCCAAACACUUCAAGCUAUUCAUUUUAUAAUAUAUCACUGACAGCUUGGAAGCGAGGACAAAACUUAAAAGUUGUGAAGCUCGAGAGAUGAAAAGAGAGCGGCGAAGAUGAAAUGGAUGGAACUUCCCUAAAAAUGUUUUUGAAGAUGGGUGUAUUUGAUAUAUGCCUACAACAAGACAAGAUGUCAGAAACAUAUUCUGGGAUAAGAAGAAACGGAGGCAAAGUUUGGAGAGUCAAAAUGGAAUUCCAAUGGAAUGAUUUAUCCAUAGGUAAUUUUUUUUCUUUUAUUUUCUUAAUUGCAAAUUUGAGCUACCUUCAGCAGGGGCAAGCAUAUGGAUUUCUCUUGACUGCAAAAAUUUCAGCACUGCUCCCUCCCUGGCACUUCAGUUGUCUCAAAGAUUUUCAGGAGCCCAUUUGUCACUACACUGGGUGAUGACAGACCAAACCUAUUUGUCACUGUGAGUGACAAAUAAUGUGCACCACGAGGGAUUUCUU